rnacentral:rRNA from 1 species
GGGUUGUGAGGUUAAGCGACUAAGCGUACACGGUGGAUGCCCUGGCAGUCAGAGGCGAUGAAGGACGUGCUAAUCUGCGAUAAGCGUCGGUAAGGUGAUAUGAACCGUUAUAACCGGCGAUUUCCGAAUGGGGAAACCCAGUGUGUUUCGACACACUAUCAUUAACUGAAUCCAUAGGUUAAUGAGGCGAACCGGGGGAACUGAAACAUCUAAGUACCCCGAGGAAAAGAAAUCAACCGAGAUUCCCCCAGUAGCGGCGAGCGAACGGGGAGCAGCCCAGAGCCUGAAUCAGUGUGUGUGUUAGUGGAAGCGUCUGGAAAGGCGCGCGAUACAGGGUGACAGCCCCGUACACAAAAAUGCACAUGCUGUGAGCUCGAUGAGUAGGGCGGGACACGUGGUAUCCUGUCUGAAUAUGGGGGGACCAUCCUCCAAGGCUAAAUACUCCUGACUGACCGAUAGUGAACCAGUACCGUGAGGGAAAGGCGAAAAGAACCCCGGCGAGGGGAGUGAAAAAGAACCUGAAACCGUGUACGUACAAGCAGUGGGAGCACGCUUCGGCGUGUGACUGCGUACCUUUUGUAUAAUGGGUCAGCGACUUAUAUUCUGUAGCAAGGUUAACCGAAUAGGGGAGCCGAAGGGAAACCGAGUCUUAACUGGGCGUUAAGUUGCAGGGUAUAGACCCGAAACCCGGUGAUCUAGCCAUGGGCAGGUUGAAGGUUGGGUAACACUAACUGGAGGACCGAACCGACUAAUGUUGAAAAAUUAGCGGAUGACUUGUGGCUGGGGGUGAAAGGCCAAUCAAACCGGGAGAUAGCUGGUUCUCCCCGAAAGCUAUUUAGGUAGCGCCUCGUGAAUUCAUCUCCGGGGGUAGAGCACUGUUUCGGCAAGGGGGUCAUCCCGACUUACCAACCCGAUGCAAACUGCGAAUACCGGAGAAUGUUAUCACGGGAGACACACGGCGGGUGCUAACGUCCGUCGUGAAGAGGGAAACAACCCAGACCGCCAGCUAAGGUCCCAAAGUCAUGGUUAAGUGGGAAACGAUGUGGGAAGGCCCAGACAGCCAGGAUGUUGGCUUAGAAGCAGCCAUCAUUUAAAGAAAGCGUAAUAGCUCACUGGUCGAGUCGGCCUGCGCGGAAGAUGUAACGGGGCUAAACCAUGCACCGAAGCUGCGGCAGCGACGCUGAUGCGUUGUUGGGUAGGGGAGCGUUCUGUAAGCCUGCGAAGGUGUGCUGUGAGGCAUGCUGGAGGUAUCAGAAGUGCGAAUGCUGACAUAAGUAACGAUAAAGCGGGUGAAAAGCCCGCUCGCCGGAAGACCAAGGGUUCCUGUCCAACGUUAAUCGGGGCAGGGUGAGUCGACCCCUAAGGCGAGGCCGAAAGGCGUAGUCGAUGGGAAACAGGUUAAUAUUCCUGUACUUGGUGUUACUGCGAAGGGGGGACGGAGAAGGCUAUGUUGGCCGGGCGACGGUUGUCCCGGUUUAAGCGUGUAGGCUGGUUUUCCAGGCAAAUCCGGAAAAUCAAGGCUGAGGCGUGAUGACGAGGCACUACGGUGCUGAAGCAACAAAUGCCCUGCUUCCAGGAAAAGCCUCUAAGCAUCAGGUAACAUCAAAUCGUACCCCAAACCGACACAGGUGGUCAGGUAGAGAAUACCAAGGCGCUUGAGAGAACUCGGGUGAAGGAACUAGGCAAAAUGGUGCCGUAACUUCGGGAGAAGGCACGCUGAUAUGUAGGUGAAGUCCCUCGCGGAUGGAGCUGAAAUCAGUCGAAGAUACCAGCUGGCUGCAACUGUUUAUUAAAAACACAGCACUGUGCAAACACGAAAGUGGACGUAUACGGUGUGACGCCUGCCCGGUGCCGGAAGGUUAAUUGAUGGGGUCAGCGCAAGCGAAGCUCUUGAUCGAAGCCCCGGUAAACGGCGGCCGUAACUAUAACGGUCCUAAGGUAGCGAAAUUCCUUGUCGGGUAAGUUCCGACCUGCACGAAUGGCGUAAUGAUGGCCAGGCUGUCUCCACCCGAGACUCAGUGAAAUUGAACUCGCUGUGAAGAUGCAGUGUACCCGCGGCAAGACGGAAAGACCCCGUGAACCUUUACUAUAGCUUGACACUGAACAUUGAGCCUUGAUGUGUAGGAUAGGUGGGAGGCUUUGAAGUGUGGACGCCAGUCUGCAUGGAGCCGACCUUGAAAUACCACCCUUUAAUGUUUGAUGUUCUAACGUUGACCCGUAAUCCGGGUUGCGGACAGUGUCUGGUGGGUAGUUUGACUGGGGCGGUCUCCUCCUAAAGAGUAACGGAGGAGCACGAAGGUUGGCUAAUCCUGGUCGGACAUCAGGAGGUUAGUGCAAUGGCAUAAGCCAGCUUGACUGCGAGCGUGACGGCGCGAGCAGGUGCGAAAGCAGGUCAUAGUGAUCCGGUGGUUCUGAAUGGAAGGGCCAUCGCUCAACGGAUAAAAGGUACUCCGGGGAUAACAGGCUGAUACCGCCCAAGAGUUCAUAUCGACGGCGGUGUUUGGCACCUCGAUGUCGGCUCAUCACAUCCUGGGGCUGAAGUAGGUCCCAAGGGUAUGGCUGUUCGCCAUUUAAAGUGGUACGCGAGCUGGGUUUAGAACGUCGUGAGACAGUUCGGUCCCUAUCUGCCGUGGGCGCUGGAGAACUGAGGGGGGCUGCUCCUAGUACGAGAGGACCGGAGUGGACGCAUCACUGGUGUUCGGGUUGUCAUGCCAAUGGCACUGCCCGGUAGCUAAAUGCGGAAGAGAUAAGUGCUGAAAGCAUCUAAGCACGAAACUUGCCCCGAGAUGAGUUCUCCCUGACCCUUUAAGGGUCCUGAAGGAACGUUGAAGACGACGACGUUGAUAGGCCGGGUGUGUAAGCGCAGCGAUGCGUUGAGCUAACCGGUACUAAUGAACCGUGAGGCUUAACCUUACAACGCCGAAGCUGUU